ACAUGAAAGCCAUUUUGAAGGGGUCCUUCUUGACCAAAUUUGGACAUCAAAGAGAAUACUGCUAGUUUUUGUUUUUUUUUUUAAUUGAAAGAGAACAUUUGCCAUCCUUAAAGCUGAUUUUUUAUAUUAACUUCCUAUUCUUAGGGAAAUGUAUUAAGUCAUCCUGCAUUCACAUAACUAACAUCUUAAGACAAUGAAGAAAAACAUCUUAUAGAAAAAUGCCCUGUAGAAGAAAUAACAGAAUUAGAGCAAGUGAGCUGCAGGGACC
rnacentral:lncRNA from 1 species